CAGAAAGUAGUUUAAGUAAAAUACUAGUUUUGGGGACUAGAGUUGAGCGUGGGGCUCCUUUUUGA
rnacentral:tRNA from 1 species